rnacentral:miRNA from 1 species
UCACUAUGUUGACCAGGCUGGUCUUGAACUCCUGACAGUUGAUCCACCUGCCUCUGCCUCCCAAAGUGCUGGGAUUACAGGCAUGAGCCACCGCGCCC